UUUGUAUAAUGGGUCAGCGACUUAUAUUCAGUGGCAAGGUUAACCAUCUAGGGGAGCCGUAGGGAAACCGAGUCUUAACUGGGCGUUCAGUCUCUGGAUAUAGACCCGAAACCAGGUGAUCUAGCCAUGGGCAGGUUGAAGGUUGAGUAACAUCAACUGGAGGACCGAACCGACUAAUGUUGAAAAAUUAGCGGAUGACUUGUGGCUAGGGGUGAAAGGCCAAUCAAACCUGGAGAUAGCUGGUUCUCCCCGAAAGCUAUUUAGGUAGCGCCUCGGACGAAUACUACUGGGGGUAGAGCACUGUUAAGGCUAGGGGGUCAUCCCGACUUACCAACCCUUUGCAAACUCCGAAUACCAGUAAGUACUAUCCGGGAGACACACGGCGGGUGCUAACGUCCGUCGUGGAGAGGGAAACAACCCAGACCGCCAGCUAAGGUCCCAAAUUACUACUAAGUGGGAAACGAUGUGGGAAGGCUCAGACAGCCAGGAUGUUGGCUUAGAAGCAGCCAUCAUUUAAAGAAAGCGUAAUAGCUCACUGGUCGAGUCGGCCUGCGCGGAAGAUGUAACGGGGCUAAGUAGUAAACCGAAGCUGCGGCAAUGUGCUUUUGCACAUUGGGUAGGGGAGCGUUCUGUAAGCGGUUGAAGGUGUGUGGUAACGCAUGCUGGACGUAUCAGAAGUGCGAAUGCUGACAUGAGUAACGAUAAAGGGGGUGAAAAACCUCCUCGCCGGAAGACCAAGGGUUCCUGUCCAACGUUAAUCGGGGCAGGGUAAGUCGACCCCUAAGGCGAGGCCGAAAGGCGUAGUCGAUGGGAAACGGGUUAAUAUUCCCGUACUUCUUACAAUUGCGAUGGGGGGACGGAGAAGGCUAGGUGGGCCUGGCGACGGUUGUCCAGGUUCAAGUGCGUAGGCUUAAGAGUUAGGUAAAUCCGGCUCUUUUUAAGGCUGAGACACGACGUCGAGCACCUACGGGUGUGAAGUCAUUGAUGCCAUGCUUCCAGGAAAAGCCUCUAAGCUUCAGAUUGUAAGGAAUCGUACCCCAAACCGACACAGGUGGUCGGGUAGAGAAUACCAAGGCGCUUGAGAGAACUCGGGUGAAGGAACUAGGCAAAAUGGUACCGUAA
rnacentral:rRNA from 1 species